GGGGUCUUAUCAGUGUGCCAGGACACUCGGUAUGCACUCCAACCCUCUUUUCUGGGAACUUUUAUUCAUUAAUUGAUGCUGCAGUCUGGACUUAAUUGAGCGGAAUACAUGACAUCGGCUUAUGUAUUCAAUUUUCUCAAACAAUUUCCACGCCACAAAAUUUUGUCGGACACAUUCAUUAGACGACUAUGUUCAUUUUCCUCUCUGACACGCUCACUCCUCUCUGAAAACGAUAGAAAUCUUUCACACAUACGAAUAUGUCUUUGUUUAUCUCAAACUUCCAACAAAACUUUCCCAGCAGGUGAGUAAAUUGCUUCGACAAGAUUAUUAAUGUUGAAAUGUUUGCCUUUUGCUCGAGGAAAACGCCUAAAUGAAAUGCAAAUUAAAGUGCAAUGUAAUUGGUUUAAGGCGUGCACAAAAAUAAUUCUUUUAAGAUGAUUAAAU
rnacentral:lncRNA from 1 species